CUUCUGUGUUUCAGGUUCCAUCUGAAAGUGUGUGAGAGGCAGAUUGUGUGUGCAUCUGCGUACAUGCCUGUGUGUGUGUGUAUGUGUCACAAUGAAGCACCGGUCUAUCUCCCGAUGGCUGAGCCAGCUUGGAUUGCCGCAGUACUGCCCAGCGUUGGAGCAGGAAUAUGACGGUGUAGAGGACCUGCUCCACCUCUCAGAGUAUGACCUUUUGGAGCUUGGAGUGCACAAUCACCUCCACCGCCUGCACCUUCUCACUUCUCUAUGCCUCCUCCAGGAGCGAGAGCGGAGGAGAGAGUUGAGGAUGAUGGCAGAGGGGCGUUUUGCCAGUCUGCCCAGGUCCCUCCAUGCACACCACGCCCUUGGAGGAGGCACUGCACACACGGGAGUCCCCUCCACCUCCCUCGGUGUCCCCGGUAGCAGCACCUGCUCCUCCAGAGGGCUCCAGGCCUCCCUCGUCUCCUCCAUGGACCUCCUCAGCUCCAGAUCUGGUUUCCCUCCAGGUCAUGGCAGCGGCCUGUCAGAGCUGCCCGCUGCUGCCUACCAGCAAAUCUCCAUUCACGGUACUCUGCCUCGACGCAAGAGAGGAGGGGCAAACCUCAACCAUGGAAACUACACCUGGGACCCCAGAGCCAAUCACACACAGCACAUACUCUGCGGGAACACGUCACAGGCUCCCGGACACGCCCAUCAACCCUUGACCUCUCCGCUGGUGCAAAACAUCAUUGACGACUUUCAUGGUUACAGGUAAACACAUGUACAAACACACAGAGAUAUGCUGAUGAGAGGUCAUACAAGCCCUCUGUUGAUGAACAAGACUGCAUUUUGAUAUUUACAAUUUCUGUCUGUGAU
rnacentral:lncRNA from 1 species